AGAGAUUGCUCCAUUUGCAACCAUGGAGAAUGCGGUUCAAGAGAUAGUGGCGAAGCAAGUGUUGACGGUGGCAAAAGCGGUGGAGGACAAGCUUGAUGAAGAGAUUCAUGCUUUAGAUCGAUUAGAUCUCGAUGAUUUGGAGGUGUUGAGAGAACGUAGAUUGCAACAGAUGAAGAAAAUGGCUGAAAAACGUAAUCGUUGGUUAUCUCUUGGACAUGGAGAAUACUCUGAGAUCCAAGCUGAAAAGGAUUUUUUCUCUGUUGUUAAGGCUAGUGAUCGCGUGGUUUGCCAUUUCUACCGCGAAAAUUGGCCUUGCAAGGUUAUGGAUAAGCAUUUGAGCAUACUAGCAAAACAGCAUAUAGAAACACGUUUUGUGAAAAUUAACGCAGAGAAAGCGCCAUACCUGGCUGAAAAGCUCAGAAUUGUUGUUCUUCCAACCCUUGCACUCAUCAAAAAUGCUAAAGUUGAUAACUACCUGGUUGGAUUUGAUGAGCUUGGGGGUACCGAUGAGUUCAGCACGGAGGAACUUGAAGAGAGGUUAGCUAAAGCUGAUGUUAUCAUCUUUGAAGGUGAAUCAUCAAAAUUUUUAUCAAAAUCCAAAGCUCAGGCGAAGAAGAGUGUGAGGCAGAGUUCAAAUCCCGACUCGUCGGACUCGGAGUAAAUGAAGAAUAAUAUAGCUUUGUUUAUGUAUUCCUGUUUCUAAUACUAAAAUAUACUAAAGUUCGUUAAUGGUGAAAGAAUUGAAUUUUGUUUUCAAAUUCGCCAUGUAAACUGUUAUUGCUUUGGUUCAUCUUUU
rnacentral:misc_RNA from 1 species